GUGGAGUAGACUUGUACGAGGCACCGCUCCCUAACUCUAUAUACAGGCAGAGUUGCCCACGAGGUGGAGCAGCCGGCGUCAUUCCUAAAUAACUGCAUUGAGGGAAGGUUGAAAACCACCUCCACAACACCACAUAAUGCCUAGUGGUGGUGGUGACAUGGGAAGCAGAAAGAGGUGACAAGUUUGAGGACACAAGACAACCAAGGAGGAGUAAGUGAACACCAAAGAAUUAACAGGUAUACUUUGAUUGCUGCUGCUGAAGCUAAAUAUACAAUUUGAGGACAUUAUAGCAAUUCUUACUGUGAUGUUGGAUACAGACUGUCCUCACUUAAUGACUUACCUGACACUUGGUAAAAAAAAAAUUGUCUAAGUGAACCCAACCCUGCCUCCUUCAACUACCUUUUACCAAAGGUACUAAUGUUGGGUUGGGCAACAACAAACUAUUAAUAUAUUAAGACAUUUAGUUACUGUGGGUGGCAGGGUAUGGGGGAGGUGAAGGGUUUGGCUGGGAGCCCUGUUGGGUUGUCCUGUGUGGCUGGCUGAAAGGCUAAAACCUGAGUUUCUGUUUGA